UACGGAGGAUCCGAGCGUUAUCCGGAUUUAUUGGGUUUAAAGGGAGCGUAGGCGGGUUGUUAAGUCAGUUGUGAAAGUUUGCGGCUCAACCCCGGCGAGCCGUUGAAACUGGCGGGCUGGAGUUGGAGAGAAGUACGCGGAAUGCGCGGUGUAGCGGUGAAAUGCUUAGAUAUCGCGCAGAACCCCGAUUGCGAAGGCAGCGUACCGGCUCCACACUGACGCUGAGGCACGAAAGCGUGGGUAUCGAACAGG
rnacentral:rRNA from 1 species